rnacentral:rRNA from 1 species
ACUACGUAGGACUACCAUGCAAGUCGGACGGUAGCACAGAGGAGCUUGCUCCUUGGGUGACGAGUGGCGGACGGGUGAGUAGUGUCUGGGGAUCUGCCCGAUAGAGGGGGAUAACCACUGGAAACGGUGGCUAAUACCGCAUAACGUCGCAAGACCAAAGAGGGGGACCUUCGGGCCUCUCACUAUCGGAUGAACCCAGAUGGGAUUAUCUAGUAGGCGGGGUAGUGGCCCACCUAGGCGACGAUCCCUAUGUGGUCUGAGAGGAUGACCAGCCACACUGGAACUGAGACACGGCCCAGACUCCUACGGGAGGCAGCAGUGGGGAAUAUUGCACAGUGGGCGCAAGCCUGAUGCAGCCAUGCCGCGUGUAUGAAGAAGGCCUUCGGGGUGAAAGCACUUUCAGCGGAGAGGAAGGCGACGGGGUUAAUAACCGUGUCGAGUGACGUUACCCGCAGAAGAAGCACCGGCUAUCUCCGUGCCAGCAGCCGCGGUAAUACGGAGGGUGCAAGCGUUAAUCGGAAUUACUGGGCGUAAAGCGCACGCAGGCGGUCUGUUAAGUCAUAUGUGAAAUCCCCGGGCUUACCCUGGGAACUGCAUUUGAAACUGGCAGGCUUGAGUCUUGUAGAGGGGGGUAGAAUUCCAGGUGUAGCGGUGAAGUGCGUAGAGAUCUGGAGGAAUACCGGUGGAGAAGGCGGCCCCUGGACAAAGACUGACGCUCGGUGCGAAGCGUGGGAGAAACAGGAUAUAUA